UAAGGAAUAUUGGUCAAUGGAGGCAACUCUGAACCAGCCAUGCCGCGUGAAGGAUGAAGGUCCUCUGGAUUGUAAACUUCUUUUAUGUGGGAAGAAAUGUCCGGAUUAUUCUGGAUUUGACGGUACCAUAGGAAUAAGCACCGGCUAACUCCGUGCCAGCAGCCGCGGUAAUACGGAGGGUGCAAGCGUUAUCCGGAUUCACUGGGUUUAAAGGGUGCGUAGGUGGGAAAGUAAGUCAGUGGUGAAAUCUUUGAGCUUAACUCAGAAACUGCCAUUGAUACUAUUUUUCUUGAAUUUUCCGGAGGUUAGCGGAAUAUGUCAUGUAGCGGUGAAAUGCUUAGAUAUGACAUAGAACACCAAUUGCGAAGGCAGCUAACUACAGGGAUAUUGACACUGAGGCACGAAAGCGUGGGGAUCAAACAG
rnacentral:rRNA from 1 species